AUUGAACGCUGGCGGCAUGCUUUACACAUGCAAGUCGAACGGUAACAGGCCGCAAGGUGCUGACGAGUGGCGAACGGGUGAGUAAUGCAUCGGAACGUGCCCAGUCGUGGGGGAUAACGCAGCGAAAGCCGUGCUAAUACCGCAUACGAUCUACGGAUGAAAGCGGGGGAUCGCAAGACCUCGCGCGAUUGGAGCGGCCGAUAUCAGAUUAGCUAGUUGGUGAGGUAAAGGCUCACCAAGGCGACGAUCUGUAGCUGGUCUGAGAGGACGACCAGCCACACUGGAACUGAGACACGGUCCAGACUCCUACGGGAGGCUGCAGUCGAGAAUCUUCUGCAAUGGGGGCAACCCUGACAGAGCGACGCCGCGUGGAGGAUGAAGGCCCUCGGGUUGUAAACUCCUGUCACAUGUUAAGAAACGUACGAGUCCACUCGUACGCUGACGAAGGCAUGAGAGGAAGUCACGGCUAACUUCGUGCCAGCCGCCGCUGUAAUAC
rnacentral:rRNA from 1 species